rnacentral:rRNA from 1 species
CCUACGGGGUGCAGCAGUGGGGAAUAUUGGACAAUGGGCGAAAGCCUGAUCCAGCCAUGCCGCGUGUGUGAAGAAGGCCUUCGGGUUGUAAAGCACUUUCAGUGGGGAAGAAAGCCUUGGGGCUAAUACCCUCGAGGAAGGACAUCACCCACAGAAGAAGCACCGGCUAACUCCGUGCCAGCAGCCGCGGUAAUACGGAGGGUGCGAGCGUUAAUCGGAAUUACUGGGCGUAAAGCGCGCGUAGGCGGUCUGAUAAGCCGGUUGUGAAAGCCCCGGGCUCAACCUGGGAACGGCAUCCGGAACUGUCAGGCUAGAGUGCAGGAGAGGAAGGUAGAAUUCCCGGUGUAGCGGUGACAUGCGUAGAGAUCGGGAGGAAUACCAGUGGCGAAGGCGGCCUUCUGGACUGACACUGACGCUGAGGUGCGAAAGCGUGGGUAGCAAACAGGAUUAGAUACCCCGGUAGUC